GAUGAACGCUGGCGGCGUGCCUAAUACAUGCAAGUCGAGCGAAUGGAUUAAGAGCUUGCUCUUAUGAAGUUAGCGGCGGACGGGUGAGUAACACGUGGGUAACCUGCCCAUAAGACUGGGAUAACUCCGGGAAACCGGGGCUAAUACCGGAUAACAUUUUGAACCGCAUGGUUCGAAAUUGAAAGGCGGCUUCGGCUGUCACUUAUGGAUGGAUCCGCGUCCCAUUAGCUAGUUGGUGAGGUAACGGCUCACCAAGGCAACGAUGCGUAGCCGACCUGAGAGGGUGAUCGGCCACACUGGGACUGAGACACGGCCCAGACUCCUACGGGAGGCAGCAGUAGGGAAUCUUCCGAAAUGGACGAAAGUCUGACGGAGCAACGCCGCGUGAGUGAUGAAGGCUUUCGGGUCGUAAAACUCUGUUGUUAGGGAAGAACAAGUGCUAGUUGAAUAAGCUGGCACCUUGACGGUACCUAACCAGAAAGCCACGGCUAACUACGUGCCAGCCGCCGCGGUAA
rnacentral:rRNA from 1 species